AAUGACAGAAAAAUAGAAAAAAAAAGCAUAAAUUCAAAUAUCUCCAACUUUAGUGUGAGGAUCGACGGACAAACUUGGGACGUUUGUGGCUGGCUGCUCCGACUCCACCAAUGGCAAUGAAGCUGGCACAGCUUCAGUGGGAAUGGAUGCUGGCACAACCUCUAAUGUUGGAGUGCUUCGGAAUGCCCUUCAGUAGCCUCAGC
rnacentral:lncRNA from 1 species